AGUGUUUUACUCAGUUGAAUUGUAUUAAAUGCGUCAUUCGCUCUCUCAAAAAGUCACUUAAAAAAAUAAUAAUAAUAAUUGACCGCGUAGUUUUUGAGUUAAGGCCAUAGCAACACCAUAGCAACGAGGGACGCGCCGUCCUGCCGACCCCUACCUCGUGACGUAACUUCCAGGAAGCCUCGCCACCACUCUGAACACGGAAAUAUAGCACCACGCUAUCCUCGCCAUAUAUUGCAAACAUUUUCUGGGUUUUACUCGCGGGAUUCGUCAUGCCAUCUCGAUGUGUAGCGAUAUGAAUUACUCACAGGAAGACUCGAGACUCUAGGAGUGGUCCAAAAAAAAAAAACUUCUCCUGCAAAGCCACGACAGCUUUGAAAACCUACAACAAUGCAACCUUGGUUUUCCAAAGACGAAGCCAAACAUAAAAAAUUAAGUGGCGGAAACCCUCAACACGAUGAAAAAAGCGUUGCAAGUCAGUUGCCACCCAGUUUCCCAAAAUCAAGAGAGAGUGGGUCGAGUCAUAUGAUGACCGAAGUGAUGCGGUGUCCAGCGAUGAUGACUGAAGAGAUCCUAUGAGGCCUGCCAGAUGCUGAAUUUCUUCUGUCUGCGACAUCAGAUGACGAUGAUUUAGGAGAAAUAAAUGUAGCAAAUUUUGAUGACAUGAAAUCAUAAACUAGUCAUAUGUACAGUACACAUUUUUUAAAAGAAAAAUCAAGUUACCUUCAUAUUUUAAUGAUAAUGCAUUAUCUUUGUAUAGAGAACACUUCAUGCUACAGAAAAGAGUAAAUACAUAUUUCCCACUGCCAUUAUCAUUUUUCAAUGUUGCGCUAGUCCGUUGCUAUCCUAACUUUGUGUUGCUUACUAAAAUUAUGCUCUUUGAUGUGUGCCGUUGUGUGCUUGGUAUAACAUGUUGUGUCACAAUCUGACAACGAAAGCUAAUGCUGAUUCAACAUAAACCUGGUAUCAUUAUUGCGGCCUAUUGAAUAUUUUUUCAGAAUGUAAUAUAAUUACAAUAUUUUAUAUAACAAAAGAAUACAUUAAACAGUCAACAAAAUGUGUCAAUGUUGUUAACAAUUUAUGGUUUUAUUUUUUUUUAAUGAAAUUCAUGCCCCUGUCAGUGCUUCAGCCUCUGCAAGUUUGGCUCUCACGUCUGGGAUCUCCUGAUGACACAGGCAUACUCUUGGAAGGGUAAUUACUUGAUGGUUUACAGCAUCACCUGGAAAAUAAAAUGGUUUUGUCAUUUAUUUUGAAAUAUCAAUAACAUUUCAUUCAUUUAGCCACAUUUGGGCUAGCUUUACCAUAUUUAGAUCGGUAGGCGCUGUCCCAUUACCUAAUAUCCAGUUUUAGCUAUGUGUAGAGCAUGGAAAAAUAUACAACCAUGUAAUCGCAUUCUAAUAAAAAAAAUCACGAUGCUGGACUAACCACUCACUCUCCCGUUCGUGAAGUGUCGAGC